GAUGAACGCUGGCGGCGUGCCUAAUACAUGCAAGUCGAGCGAACAGACGAGGAGCUUGCGCCUCUGACGUUAGCGGCGGACGGGUGAGUAACACGUGGAUAACCUACCUAUAAGACUGGGAGAACUUCGGGAAACCGGAGCUAAUACCGGAUAAUAUAUUGAACCGCAUGGUUCAAUAGUGAAAGACGGUUUUGCUGGCACGGAUAGAUGGAUCCGCGCCUCAUUAGCUAGUUGGUAAGGUAACGGCUUACCAAGGCCACGAUGCGUAGCCGACCUGAGAGGGUGGACGGCCACACGGGAAAUGGGAACCGGUACACAGCCCAGAGGGAGACAGCAGUAGGGAAUGGUCAGCAAUGGGCGAAGGCCUGAAGGCGCAACGAGGGGCGAGUCAUGAAGGUUUGCGGAUCGUAAAACGCUGUUAUUAGGGAAGAACAAAUGUGUAAGUAACUAUGCACGUCGUGACGGUACCUAAUAAGAAAGCCACGGCUAACUACGUG
rnacentral:rRNA from 1 species